rnacentral:rRNA from 1 species
UGGCGGCGUGCUUAACACAUGCAAAGUCGAGCGGAAAUAUAUUGAAGAUUAUCGGAUAUAUAUUUAGCGGCGGACGGGUGAGUAACGCGUGGGCAAUCUGCCUCACACAGGGGAAUAACACUGGGAAACUAGUGCUAAUACCGCAUGAUAUAGUGAAGUGGCAUCACUUUACUAGUCAAAGGAGCAAAUCCGGUGUGAGAUGAGCCCGCGUCCGAUUAGCUAGUUGGUGAGGUAACGGCCCACCAAGGCGACGAUCGGUAGCCGAACUGAGAGGUUGAUCGGCCACAUUGGGACUGAGACACGGCCCAGACUCCUACGGGAGGCAGCAGUGGGGAAUAUUGCGCAAUUAGGGGGGAAACCCUGACGCAGCAACGCCGCGUGAAGGAUGAAGGUUUUCGGAUUGUAAACUUCUUUGAUUGGGGACGAUAAUGACGGUACCCAAAAACAAGCCACGGCUAACUACGUGCCAGCCGCCGC